AUGUAAAUCCAUAAUUAAUGUUGUUAAGACUACAAGGAGAGAUUUCAAUAAUAAUUACUUUUAUAUAGUAGUUCAACUUAACAAGUCUAAAAGCUAUUCAAAUCUUCACCAAUAUCACAUUGAUUCAAAAUUAAUUUUGUUCAUGCUACCAAAAAAAUUAACAUUAUAAACUACCAUUAUAUAGUAGUUUAGCUUAUUAAAUAACUAAAUCAUCACUAAUUUUAUAUGAAUAUAAAUUAAUAUUGAUUAAGCUACUAAAACUAUUGAUAUUAAUG
rnacentral:lncRNA from 1 species